UUUGGAAAAAAAAAAAUAGUGAAGUUGCAGUUGUAGCUGAAGCAGUGUGGCUCCAGUGUCCACAUUAUUCACCAUAUGCUACAUUUUCUCUCUAAGAAUGUCUCAGAUCUUAUACGUACAUACUUGGUGAUAGACUUAUAGUCACUAUUUACUGUAAUCAUGAAAUCCCAUUUCCCACUGACUACCAUUUUUCAGUAAGAGUCAUGAGCUUGGAAAUUUUUAUUUAAUUAUAAAUUUAUAAAAAAUGAAAAAAAAUGUUAGCAGAAUACCAUAAAGGAGAAGUACACUCAUAGUUCUGCAGAUAGUUGACUAGAAAGGAGUCUGAAUUUCUCAAAUGUAAUCCUAUUGUUUUCCAGUGAGCAAACUGAGAUAAGACUUGUAAAUGCGUUCAGAAAAUGACCCAAAUCCAUGACUUUUUACACUGAACAUGGAAUUUCUACUAGAACAUGCUUCAUUUUGGAAUCUGUCACGCCUGGAUUCAUAGGGUUUCAAUCCUGACUUAUUUUCAUCAAACUAGGCAGUCAUCUUCUAGGACCAAAGAAAAAACUGUAGAAGCCUGGAUUUGGAACAAGUGACCAAGGAAGAAAUAGAAAACCAAGGUAACAAAUUUACAAAAAAUUUUUCACUGCUAUUAUGAUAGGGAUAAAAUAGAUUUUGUUUGAAUGAGUUAUACAUCUUUUGUAAGAAGUAGGUUUUAUCACUUAAUCUCAAGCGUUUUAUGCCAGAACCUCCAAGAAUAAGACAACUUACACAUUUUCUUCAUUUUAUAGUAUAAUAAUAGAAUAAAUACAAUGGCAAUAAUUUUCCCUAAAUUUUUAAUUAGAAUUGUUUAAUGACAUAUUGAAAUACAGAAAAUGCAUAGCACAACAAAACAAUAUAACGUGACUAUAUUUAUUAUUUAUAAUGGCUUCAUUUAGAUUGCUUUAUGUAAUUUAGAGAAUGCAACAAUUAUUUAUCUUAUAUCUUAAUACAUUGAUAAUAAUAGUAAGGAUUACUAUAGUUCUUUAUAUUUUUUUACCUUGUAUAUAGUAUUUUUAAAUGUCCUGGUUCUGUGCUGAUGUUUUAUUUGUGUUGUUAUUUUUUAUUGUGGUAAAAUAUACAUAACACAUUGUUGUGCAACUAUCAUCACUGCCCAUCUCCAAAACCUUUUCAUCAUCCUAAACUGAAACUCCAUACCCAUGAAACAAUAAUUUUUUCUUACCCCCUCCCCUUAGCUCCUGGUAUCCACUGUUGUACAUUCCGUGUCUAUGAAUAUGACGAUUCUAGGUGUCUUGUAAACGUGAGAUCAUAACGUAUUUGUCGUUUUGUGUCUGGCUUAGUAUGUCUUCAAGGUUCACCCAUGUUAUAGCAUUAUCACAGUUCCAUUGCUUUUUUUUUAAGGUUGAAUGAUAUCCCCUUGUAUGUAUAUACUACAGUUCGUUUAUUCAUUCAUUAAUUGAUGGGCAUUUAAUUUGUUUCCAUUUUUG
rnacentral:lncRNA from 1 species